GAGACUGAGACCCUUUAUACCUGAGGCAUAGGGUAAUGGAGGUGGACGUUUCUAAGGAGGGAGCCACCUGGGGGGAGGAUCGCCCAGGGGCUGGUGCUGCUGCCAGGGCUGACGAUGAUGAGGGAGGUAACGCGUUCUUACAACUCCGGUCACAAAUACAGGAGCUGGGGAGGAGACACGAUCAGGUGAUGUCAACACUUGCUGGGCUGAGCACUGGUAAUACCAGGUCUUAUGUCUAUAUUCCCAGGGAAAAACAAAUUGUUCCUUACUGUGGUGAUGCUAGUAAAGAUUGCCAGACUGUAGAUGAGUUUAUUGAGGAACUCGAACGAGUUAUUCGUGUAAGGGGACUGAGUGAAGAAGAUCAAGUAGACUUUAUUUUGUCACACUUGAGACCAGACGGAGGCGGUGUGGAAAAAAGGGUCCAUCGGUCACACCUUCAACCUUGUCCACAACCAACCCCAGUGCCAGCACCGCGUAGGAAAGUAAGCUUUGCGAAAGAAGUUAUGAGUCCAUUGCAUGAGGAAAUAUCAGCUCCUACUGACAUCGAGUGUGUAGUUGUGGAGGAGACUUGGCGUACUGCGACAGGGCAAUCAGUGCCUGCAGCGGAUGAAUGUAUGAAACGACCCAGUUCCCAGGUAAAGGAUUUGAUUGCACCUGAGAUUGAAGAACAAGAGAGUGUUGAAGAGACACUGACUGCAUUGGAGAAGAGUGUAGAUGAAGGAGGUGAUGGCAUGGGGGUGGCUCCUAUAGACAUGGGACUGGAUACUGUUGAGAAGCGUCCAGUCCCUGCUCAAAGAAGUAAUUUGGCGGCCCCGGUUGAGCCUAGAGUACCCGCCCCGGCGCCACGUCGGUCACAAAGGCAGACUGCGGGUAAGCACGGUAACCCAUACAGCCUGCCUAAGUCAGUUUGCAAUGCAGUCUCCUUCAGCCCAGACAUUUUGUCUCAAGUUUAUAACGCGGAGCCAUAUAGUUAAUAUUAGUAAUACGCAGCAUGCACGAUACAAGGAAAUGGUCAGUAACAUCAUCGCUUUGAGGUACGAUAUUUAC
rnacentral:lncRNA from 1 species